GUCUAUGGCCAUGCUACCCUGAACAAGCCCAAUCCCAUCUGAUUUCAGAAGCUAAGCAGGGAGUACUUGGAUGGGAGACCACUUAGGAAGCCAGGUGCUGUAGGCA
rnacentral:rRNA from 1 species